AAAUGAAUUGACGGGGGCCCGCACAAGCGGAGGAACAUGUGGUUUAAUUCGAUGAUACGCGAGGAACCUUACCCGGGCUUGAAUUGCUGAUAACGGCAUUUGGAGACAGAUGCUUCCCUUCGGGGUAUCAGUGAAGGUGCUGCAUGGUUGUCGUCAGCUCGUGCCGUAAGGUGUCGGCUUAAGUGCCAUAACGAGCGCAACCCUUGCCGUUAGUUGCCAUCAGGUUAAGCUGGGCACUCUAGUGGGACUGCCAUCGUAAGAUGUGAGGAAGGUGGGGAUGACGUCAAAUCAGCACGGCCCUUAUGUCCGGGGCGACACACGUGUUACAAUGGUAGGUACAGCGGGAAGCUACCUGGCGACAGGAUGCAGAUCCCGAAAUCCUAUCUCAGUUCGGAUUGGAGUCUGGAACUCGACUCCAUGAAGCUGGAUUCGCUAGUAAUCGCGCAUCAGCCAUGGCGCGGUGAAUACGUUCCCGGGCCUUGUACACACCGCCCGU
rnacentral:rRNA from 1 species